GUAUUAGAGGCACUGCCUGCCCAGUGACCCCAGUUAAACGGCCGCGGUAUCCUGACCGUGCAAAGGUAGCAUAAUCACUUGUUCUCUAAAUAGGGACUGGUAUGAAUGGCCCCACGAGGGUUUAACUGUCUCUUACUUUUAAUCAGUGAAAUUGACAUUCCCGUGAAGAGGCGGGAAUUAAAAAAUAAGACGAGAAGACCCUAUGGAGCUUUAAUUAACUAGUUUACAAAUAAUAAUACCUAUCUACAAGAGACAAAUUAAAAUUGAUUAAAUUAGCAAUUUCGGUUGGGGCGACCUCGGAAUAAAAAUUAACCUCCGAGAAAUCUUACUAAGGCCUACGAGCCAAAGUUAUCCAAUCAUACAUUGAUCCGCUACAAGCGAUCAACGAAAUAAGUUACCCUAGGGAUAACAGCGCAAUCCUAUUUAAGAGUCCAUAUCGACAAUUAGGGUUUACGACCUCGAUGUUGGAUCAGGACAUCCCAAUGGUGCAGCAGCUAUUAAUGUGUUCGUUUGUUCAACGAUUAAAGUCCUACGUGAUCUGAGU
rnacentral:rRNA from 1 species